CCUACGGGUGGCAGCAGUAGGGAAUAUUGCUCAAUGGGGGAAACCCUGAAGCAGCAACGCCGCGUGGAGGAUGAAGGUCCUCGGAUUGUAAACUCCUUUUGUUAGAGAAGAUAAUGACGGUAUCUAACGAAUAAGCACCGGCUAACUCCGUGCCAGCAGCCGCGGUAAUACGGAGGGUGCAAGCGUUACUCGGAUUCACUGGGCGUAAAGGGCGCGUAGGCGGGUUAGCAAGUCAGAUGUGAAAUCCUAGGGCUUAACCAUAGAACUGCAGUUGAAACUGUUAGUCUGGAGUAUGGGAGAGGUAGGUGGAAUUCGUGGUGUAGGGGUGAAAUCCGUAGAGAUCAAGAAGAAUACUCAUUGCGAAGGCGGUCUGCUAGAACAUAACUGACGCUGAUGCGCGAAAGCGUGGGGAGCAAACAGGAUUAGAUACCCCUGUAGUC
rnacentral:rRNA from 1 species